rnacentral:rRNA from 1 species
UUGUUGGUAAGGUAAAAGCUUACCAAGGCUUCGAUCAGUAGCUGGUCUGAGAGGACGACCAGCCACACUGGGACUGAGACACGGCCCAGACUCCUACGGGAGGCAGCAGUGGGGAAUUUUGGACAAUGGGGGCAACCCUGAUCCAGCCAUGCCGCGUGAGUGAAGAAGGCCUUCGGGUUGUAAAGCUCUUUCAGCCGGAACGAAACGGUUACGGAUAACACCCGUGACUACUGACGGUACCGGAAGAAGAAGCACCGGCUAACUACGUGCCAGCAGCCGCGGUAAUACGUAGGGUGCGAGCGUUAAUCGGAAUUACUGGGCGUAAAGCGUGCGCAGGUGGUUUUGUAAGUCAGAUGUGAAAGCCCCGGGCUCAACCUGGGAACUGCGUUUGAAACUACAAGGCUAGAGUGUGGCAGAGGGGGGGGUGGAAUUCCGCGUGUAGCAGUGGAAUGCGUAGAGAUGUGGAGGAACACCGAUGGCGAAGGCAGCCCCCUGGGUCAACACUGACGCUCAGGCACGAAAGCAUGGGGAGCAAACAGGAUUAGAUACCCUGGUAGUCCAUGCCCUAAACGAUGUCAACUAGUUGUCGGGCCUUUACGGGCUUGGUAACGUAGCUAACGCGUGAAGUUGACCGCCUGGGGAGUACGAUCGCAAGAUUAAAACUCAAAUGAAUUGACGGGGACCCGCACAAGCGGUGGAUUAUGUGGAUUAAUUCGAUGCAACGCGAAAAACCUUACCUACCCUUGACAUGUAUCGAAGCCCGCAGAAAAGCGGGGGUGCCCGAAAGGGAACGAUAACACAGGUGCUGCAUGGCUGUCGUCAGCUCGUGUCGUGAGAUGUUGGGUUAAGUCCCGCAACGAGCGCAACCCUUGUCAUUAAUUGCCAUCAUUUAGUUGGGCACUUUAAUGAGACUGCCGG